rnacentral:rRNA from 1 species
CGGACGGGUGAGUAACACGUGGAUAACCUACCUAUAAGACUGGGAUAACUUCGGGAAACCGGAGCUAAUACCGGAUAAUAUUUUGAACCGCAUGGUUCAAAAGUGAAAGACGGUCUUGCUGUCACUUAUAGAUGGGUCCGCGCUGCAUUAGCUAGUUGGUAAGGUAACGGCUUACCAAGGCAACGAUGCAUAGCCGACCUGAGAGGGUGAUCGGCCACACUGGAACUGAGACACGGUCCAG